GAUUUUUUUUCGAAAUGUGGUCGAGUUAUAUAUGGAUUUGAUCAGACCUGAAUGACCCAUUGGAUUAAAAAUUUUAGAUAUGGACCCAAUGCUACUCGACCCAAUCUUCUAUUUGAUGGAGUCUAGGUUCAACAUUAGGAUCUAAUCAACGAACUGGAUUGGGCCAGGAUCACUCCUGAUCCGGUCCAACCCAAUCUAUCUGGACUUCUAAUCUCAAUACACCA
rnacentral:lncRNA from 1 species